GGGGAUGUGGCGGAAUGGCAGACGCGCUUGGUUGAGGGCCAAGUGGGCAUUAGCCCGUGGAGGUUCAACUCCUCUCAUCCCCACCA
rnacentral:tRNA from 1 species